rnacentral:rRNA from 1 species
UACGUAGGGACCGAGCGUUGUCCGGAUUCAUUGGGCGUAAAGAGCUCGUAGGCGGCUGCUCAAGUCGAAUGUGAAAACUCGAGGCUCAACCUCGAGCCUGCAUUCGAUACUGGGCGGCUAGAGUCUGGUAGGGGGAUCUGGAAUUCCUGGUGUAGCGGUGAAAUGCGCAGAUAUCAGGAGGAACACCUAUUGCGAAGGCAGCUCGCUGGGACGUUACUGACGCUGAGACGCGAAAGCGUGGGGAGCGAACGGG